GUUUUAGUAGCUGGAAUCAGAUCUAGGAGUAUCUGAAAUUGCAUUAAAAAAUAUGUGCAAUUACCAUUUUUGAUCCUAGAGAAACUUAAAUUUUCUCAUUUUGUAGUUAUUGAAUGCAUUUGGAAUUAGAAGAUUUGUAAAGAAAGCAGGCUACAGUUUUGUGUUGCUUCUAAUGAGAUUGUAAUGAUUAUAUUCUCAUGUUUGACAUGCUCAAAGGUUAUAAUGCUUGAAAUUUUAACUAGCCUGAUAUAUCACCUAUAGGUUGAACAUCUUUAGUCCUUUGAAAUGGGCUCAAUUUGGAAACAAGAAUCCAGAUAAUUGAGGAGUUACACGUUGCUAUCAGCACAAUUGAAAGUUUGAGAGGUGCUACUGUGGAACCACUUGGGUCUUUUGUGUCUCAGCUAUUUUCUUGCUAGGGAGAUCUAGAUUUAAGCUAUCCAAUGGAUUAUACAUUGCAAUUGCUGCCAGGCUGCACAAGCAGGCUUUAUUAGUGGAUGUACUUAAAGCAUUAUGGAGGGCAUGUUAUUUCUAUAAAUCAUACUUGAUCAUCUUCAUGGGGCUGAAAAUCUUUUUCUAACCACCGAAAGAGCUUUUAUUUGCGUUUCUGAAGUCUUGCAGCUUCUUAAGUUCGUCUAAGAUCACUGACAUGUAUGUCUUGAUCAGACUUUGAUGUACACCAACUCUUGAUUUGUCAAGUGCACGUCGUCACUACAACAGUUCGUUGUGAAUCCAGAAUAAAGGUAGAGAAAUGCCGACUUUACUAUCUUUGCCUCCGAGGGUAAUAAUCUUUCAACUGACCCUUUUUGGAAUUUUAGCUGCAAAUAUUAUGUUUUAGGUCAACAGAAAUUUAUUUUGGUUCGGGUACAAUAAAUAUUUUGGUUUGAAAGCUCUAAUGUCUCUAUCGUUGUUUGCAAAUUUCCUAUGUUAUUAGGCUAUAAGCAGAAUCAAUCUUUCUAUUGUUUCCUUUUGUCUCUCUGUGAUUACGAUCUUAAACCUUAUGUUUCCUUUAUUGCAAUAAAUCAUUGAAGAUUCAUCAUUGAAUUUUGAUUGGAUAUUAGAACCUUGGUUGUCUUUGCUGAUGUUAAUAGUUUUAUAGGCUUGUAGAUAAGAACAGAAGACGGGAAUGAUAUUUAUAUGUAUGUUGCUAUUUUAAAUGAAGAAAUUCAUGAUGAUAUAACUAAUGCGAAUGGUUGCUAACUCUGGAAUUAGCUCCUUCUAUGUUGCUAUUUUAAAUUUGAAUACAUAAUGUUUCUACACAAGGUACCUUGACAGGUCGUGUUUUAGUUUUGCGAACACGAGCUCUAUGGCCUCGUGAGGCUGCUACUGCAGCUUUCGCCUUGCCAAGGUCGCAACUAUUGCAGCCCUGUCGAGGCUGCUGCUGCAGCUGGCCUAGAAAGGUUGCAGCUGCUGCUGCCCUGCAGAGGCUGCUGUUGCAGCUGCCUUGGCAAGACUGCAGCUGCUACUACUCUGCUGAGGCUGCUACCGCUGUGUACCUCGCACCUCAAAGCACCUGUUAUGCAAAGGGACUUUGCAUUGUUCUAUGUCUGUAUGUUAGCUUACUUUUUUAUGCUUUGUAUGGGUUGCCUUAUGUUACAACCUCACUAAUCAAUUUUUGCUUUCAAAUCCCAAGUUAACUUGGGGGUUCAAUAAACUUUUCAUUUAUCAUUUCAGAAUUGUGUUUCUACUACUUAUCCAAGUUUUUCUUUCGAUUACGCCCACUACACGCUGCAUUUCUCUUCUUUGCUUUUGCUAAUGUGUUGCUGUUCUGUUACUAUGCUGCUGCUGUUCUGCUAUUUUGGUCAUUGAAACUGGGCUUGCUCAUGAAGUUGCUGAUAAACACUUUGCUGAGCAUAUUAUAACAGUUAAUUAUGCAAGCUUUCUCAAAUUUCUCAAAGGCGCCUCUAGAAUGCUCGGCUCGGGGAGCUAUCAACUACAACUUCCCUGAGAGUAGAAGAGUAGCAAAAGAGCUAAAGGAGCGAAAGGUUAGACCUUAGAAAGUAAGCGAACAACAUAAUGAAGAAGACUGCGCUUUGACUUAAGGGGAUAGACCUAAAGUCUUCGCUUCCUCCCUACAGAAGGAACUCAAGAUCAGCUAUGGAUUUUGAUUACGCCCACUACACGCUGCAUUUCUCUUCUUUGCUGCUGCUUCUGUGCUAUUGUUCUGCUUUUGUGCUGCUACUUAGGCAUUGUUUGCACCGGAUUAAAUAGGUGCGAAUAACUUUUUUCAAUUUUUGAAGGCAUUAUUCGCACUGUUUAACCGGUGCGAAUAAAUGUUAUUCCCACCAGUUUUGAACCGGUGUGAAUAAUUUCACUUAUUCGCACCCCUCUAAUCUAACCGGUUCUAUAUCGGUGCGAAAAGCCGGUUUUGAACCAGUGUUCAUUUAGUUUUUUCUACUAGUGACCCUCGUCUAUCUUUUAUCAUACGGAGUAUAUAAAUAUAUAUAAAUAAUAAUCAACCACAACUCUCUUUUAUCACUGCAAUCAAGCAUAUCCCAUUACCCAAAGCUACCUGAAGAUCUAAGCAAAUUUUCAAUAAUCAAGGUCCGAAAUCCUUGUAAAUUUUCUCGUUUUUUUAUUUUUUUUAUUUUUGACUUUUAGUUUAUUUGGGUUUAUAGUAUGUCUGCUACUAAGUAUGAUUAUAGAUUUUUUGGUUACUUAAAUCAUAUUCGUACUCCUAUUUGAUAUGGUAGGAUUAGUUGCUGAAAUAUUAUUGGAUCAAUUCAUUUUAUGUAUUGUAUUUCUGAAUUGAUUUUAGGUUUGUGUACAGUUUGUAAAAAAAUUUAAUUUCACUGAGAUACUCGUAUGUUAUAGUCCUCAUAGAUACUUUAUGAUAUAAAUUAAUAUCGGUCUUUCU